UCGCCCAGACCAAGGCCAACAUGCAGCAGUAAACACUUUUGAAGCUGCGUUGUGGGGGAUUGCCUGUGGCAGGGUGUGUGAAGAGAGGAAGGAAGAAGGCCAAAAGGGUGCCCCGCCGGUGCUAUGCAGAAGUGAGGGUCUGAGGCGGUGCUGUGCUCAGCGCUCCCUGCAUCCUGGCUGCCGCUGGCCUCUGUUCCAGUGGAGGAUGCUAGGCCGGGCAGCAGCCGGAGUGCCCGGGGCCAGCAGGAGCAGACUGUCUCUGCUGUGAGGGUCAGGGGUGACCAGGAGAGCCACCACCACCACCUUGCUGCUGGCACCACCAGCCAUAAAGGAAAGGGAAAAUUUGAGUGAGACAGAACAGGUCCACCAGACACAGCCUUGCACACACUGCUGAAGGAAACCAU